rnacentral:pre_miRNA from 1 species
AGUGGAAUUGCUUGGUUAUAUGGUAAGGGUAUGCCUAACAUUUUAAGAAACUGCCAAAUUGUUUUCCAAGGUAGGUGUACCAUUCUACAUUCCCACAAGCAAU